rnacentral:misc_RNA from 1 species
UUUACUUAUUUUAAAAUACACUCAGAGAUCCAUUGUAAAUCAGAGUCUGAAAAUUGUCUGCUGUUGGCAGAUGCCUCUGAAGAAGCCUGGAAUCCCACCCUGGGAUUACCUGCCGAAGCAGCAACGCAGAAAGGUUCACAAGGGUUUUAUGUGUGGUAACAUUUAGUAAUGAUCCCUCCGCUGGUUCACCAACGGAGA